GAUGAACGCUAGCGGCAGGCCUAAUACAUGCAAGCCGGACGGCAAGUUGAGUAGCAAUACUUGACCUAGAGUGGCGUAAGGGUGCGUAACACGUAUGCAAUCUGCCCACAGCCGGGAGAUAGCCCUCCGAAAGGAGGAUUAAUAUCCCAUAGGAAGAUGAGAUGGCAUCAUUUUAUUUUUAAACUACGGGGCUGUGGCUGAGCAUGCGGUUGAUUAGCUAGUUGGCGGGUAAAGGCCCACCAAGGCGAUGAUCAAUAGGGGACCUGAGAGGGUGAUCCCCCACACUGGCACUGAGAUACGGGCCAGACUCCUACGGGAGGCAGCAGUAGGGAUAUGGACAAUGGGUGUAAGCCUGAUCCAGCCAUGCCGCGUGCAGGAAGAA
rnacentral:rRNA from 1 species